GGUCUUAUAGUUCAAUGGCAGAUCGGCCCCAUGGUGGGGUAGGUAUUGGUUCGAUUCCAAUUAAGACCUCA
rnacentral:tRNA from 1 species